rnacentral:misc_RNA from 1 species
UGGGAGCAGUCCCCAAUGUGAACCGCUUCACACUGGAAAGGCUGUUUCGCAGCCAUCUUGGAGAUGUGAUUGCAUUCAACGCGAUGCCCGCCGGCGCAAUUUCUGUCUCCGCAGCAACAGNNNNNNNNNNNGUGCUUAGGUUCCCGCAAUAAAGCCGCUUGCUGCAUUCAAUCUCGAAAUUGGAAUUGCUGUUCCUGGUGUUCUCAAUCAGGUGCAAGGAGGCUUGUCAUGAAUAAGGUGGGUAGGGCGCUUCG